rnacentral:rRNA from 1 species
AACGGCCGCGGUAUUUUGACCGUGCAAAGGUAGCAUAAUCAUUAGUCUUUUAAUAGGAGGCUGGUAUGAAAGGUUUGACGAAGUACUAUCUGUCUCAAUAAAAUAUUUUUGAAUUUAGCUUUUGAGUUAAAAGGCUCAAAUUUUUUUGAAGGACGAGAAGACCCUAUAGAGCUUUAAGGCUUAUUUAUUAAUUUUAUUUAGUUUAUUUGUUAUGUUAAUUUGUUGGCCUUUUUGUUGGGGUGACAUGAGAAUAUGUAUAACUUUUUUAUUUAUGGGUCAUUUAUUUAUGUUCAUUAGAUCCUUUAUUAUUGAUUAUUAGAAUAAGUUACCUUAGGGAUAACAGCGUAAUCUUCCUCCAGAGUUCAAAUUUACGGGAAGGCUUGCGACCUCGAUGUUGGAUUAAGAUAAUAAUUAGGUGUAGCAGCCUGAUUCAUAGGUCUGUUCGAC